rnacentral:rRNA from 1 species
GGUGAACGCUGGCGGCGUGCUUAAGACAUGCAAGUCGAACGGCAGUCUUCGGACUGUAGUGGCGCACGGGUGAGUAACGCGUAACUGACCUACCCCGAAGUCGCGGAUAACGAUUCGAAAGAAUCGCUAAUACGUGAUGUGCUGUCAGAUUGUGUUCUGCCAGUAAAGAUUGAUUGCUUUGGGAUGGGGUUGCGCUCCAUCAGCUAGUUGGUGGGGUAAAGGCCCACCAAGGCGACGACGGAUAGCCGGCCUGAGAGGGUGGCCGGCCACAGGGGCACUGAGACACGGGUCCCACUCCUACGGGAGGCAGCAGUUAGGAAUCUUCCACAAUGGGCGAAAGCCUGAUGGAGCGACGCCGCGUGAGGGAUGAAGGUCUUCGGAUCGUAAACCUCUGAAUCAGGGACGAAAGACACUUCGGUGGGAUGACGGUACCUGAGUAAUAGCACCGGCUAACUCCGUGCCAGCCGCCGCAGUAAGAC